rnacentral:rRNA from 1 species
AGAGUUUGAUCAUGGCUCAGAUUGAACGCUGGCGGCAUGCCUUACACAUGCAAGUCGAACGGCAGCACGGGAGCAAUCCUGGUGGCGAGUGGCGAACGGGUGAGUAAUACAUCGGAACGUGCCUGGUAGUGGGGGAUAACCCGGCGAAAGCCGGACUAAUACCGCAUACGACCUGAGGGUGAAAGCGGGGGACUCGCAAGGGCCUCGCGCUAUUGGAGCGGCCGAUGUCAGAUUAGCUAGUUGGUGGGGUAAAGGCCUACCAAGGCGACGAUCUGUAGCUGGUCUGAGAGGACGACCAGCCACACUGGGACUGAGACACGGCCCAGACUCCUACGGGAGGCAGCAGUGGGGAAUUUUGGACAAUGGGCGCAAGCCUGAUCCAGCCAUGCCGCGUGCGGGAAGAAGGCCUUCGGGUUGUAAACCGCUUUUGUCGGGGAAGAAACGCGCCGGGCUAAUAUCCUGGCGUAAUGACGGUACCCGAAGAAUAAGCACCGGCUAACUACGUGCCAGCAGCCGCGGUAAUACGUAGGGUGCAAGCGUUAAUCGGAAUUACUGGGCGUAAAGCGUGCGCAGGCGGCUUUGCAAGACAGAUGUGAAAUCCCCGGGCUUAACCUGGGAACUGCAUUUGUGACUGCAUGGCUGGAGUGCGGCAGAGGGGGAUGGAAUUCCGCGUGUAGCAGUGAAAUGCGUAGAUAUGCGGAGGAACACCGAUGGCGAAGGCAAUCCCCUGGGCCUGCACUGACGCUCAUGCACGAAAGCGUGGGGAGCAAACAGGAUUAGAUACCCCAGUAGUCC